ensembl:misc_RNA Y_RNA Y RNA
GUGGUCUGAAGGUAGUGAGUUAUCUCAGCUGAUUGGUUCAUGGUCACUUACAGGUGCAACUCCUGGCCCUUCUCUUUCCCCCUUCUCCCUAGUGCCCUUGACUAGUCUUAA